rnacentral:rRNA from 1 species
GGGGGGCUCUCGAUGAGUAGCUUGAUCGUAUCGUUCAUAGAGAGCUCAAACCAUUGCAUCCUUGCAUCAUCUUUAUUGGUUCUUGUUUGGUUCUUCUCUUUGUGAGUUUUGGAGCUUAUGGUCAUCUCGAUGACAAGCUCGAGUUCAUCGAAAACGGAGUUCACUCGCAUCUUCUAUGAUGUUUUCGAUGUUGGAGGUUAUGCCGGUUCUUCU